UUCCCGAUAGUCUAUCGGUCAGGAUACAGGAUUCUCACUCCUGAGAGCGGGGUUCGAUUCCCCGUCGGGAAA
rnacentral:tRNA from 1 species